rnacentral:tRNA from 1 species
AGUCCUAUAGUUUAACGGAUAGAAUACCAUACUACGGAUAUGGAGGUCUCAGUUCGAUUCUGAGUAGGACUA